rnacentral:rRNA from 1 species
UACGUAGGGUGCGAGCGUUGUCCGGAAUUAUUGGGCGUAAAGGGCUCGUAGGCGGUUUGUCGCGUCGGGAGUGAAAACACUGGGCCUAACUCAGUGCCUGCUUUCGAUACGGGCAGACUAGAGGCAUGCAGGGGAGAACGGAAUUCCUGGUGUAGCGGUGAAAUGCGCAGACUAUCAGGAGGAACACCGGUGGCGAAGGCGGUUCUCUGGGCAUGUCCUGACGCUGAGGAGCGAAAGUGUGGGGAGCGAACAGG